rnacentral:rRNA from 1 species
AUGUGGACCCGUCUUCGUCAGCGCUAUCAGCCCUCUGGUGAUGCCUUAUACCUUUCUGUGGUCCGUCAGGAGCAUGCUCUUCAGCAGGGUGACUCUACUGUUGAUGACUUCUAUGCACAGAGUUCUGCUAUCUGGUGCCAGCUUGAUUCUCUCCGCAGUGCUGGUUGUCGUACCUGCCCCUGUUGCCAGGCUGUCCAGGCCAAUUUGGAGUUUCAUCGCGUCUAUGAGUUCCUGUCUCGGCUCCGUAAGGAGUUUGAGCCCCGACGUGCUCAGUUGUUUGCUCGUGGCCGUAUUUCUCUCAUGGAGGCGCUUUUUGAGAUUCGUGCUGAGGAGACUCGCUUACGUGGUGCUGGUUUGCUGGAGGUUCCCUCUGUGCUCGCUACUCGUGCUCCUACGCCACCUGCUGCACCGACCCCUUCUCGCUCGAGUGCUCCGCCGCUCUUGCCCACUCCUUCUGGAGGCUCAGGUCGCCCCCAUCCACAUUGCGACUAUUGCAACAAUGAUGGUCAUCUUGAGUCUCAGUGCUACACGAAGAAGAAACACCUGCGCAAGGCACGAUCAUCAUCUUCAAGGACUUCGUCAUCUACCUCGACAACUUCAGCCAUUGCUUUGACUGACCAGGAUAUUCUGAGACUUAAGCGUCUGCUCGCGGCUUCAGGUUCUUCCUCGACGGGUACUGCUGGUUCUGUGACUGAUGCUUCCCGCACUAAGCAAUCACCCUCUACACAGUCAGGUACAUCCCCAUGGGUUCUGGACUCUGGAGCUUCUUUUCAUAUGUCUUCUCAUUCUUCCACUUUGUCCUCUCUUUGA